rnacentral:rRNA from 1 species
AACGAACGCUGGCGGCAUGCCUAACACAUGCGAGUCAAACGAGACCUUCGGGUCUAGUGGCGCACGGGUGCGUAACGCGUGGGAACCUGCCCUUAGGUUCGGAAUAACUCCCCGAAAGGGGUGCUAAUACCGGAUAAUGUCUUCGGACCAAAGAUUUAUCGCCUUUGGAUGGGCCCGCGUUGGAUUAGCUAGUUGGUAGGGUAAAAGCCUACCAAGGCGACGAUCCAUAGCUGGUCUGAGAGGAUGAUCAGCCACACUGGGACUGAGACACGGCCCAGACUCCUACGGGAGGCAGCAGUGGGGAAUAUUGGACAAUGGGCGAAAGCCUGAUCCAGCAAUGCCGCGUGAGUGAUGAAGGCCUUAGGGUUGUAAAGCUCUUUUACCCGGGAUGAUAAUGACAGUACCGGGAGAAUAAGCGCCGGCUAACUCCGUG